GUGGCACGAUCUCGGCUCACUGCAAGCUCUGCCUCCCGGGUUCACACCAUUCUCCUGCCUCAGCCUCCCGAGUAGCUGGGACUACAGGUGCCCGCCACCUUGUGCCCGGCUAAUUUUUUUUGUAUUUUUAGUAGAGACGAGUUUCACCGUAUUAGCCAGGAUGGUCAUGUUUUUGUUCUUGUUUUUGUUUUAGAGACAGGGUCUCCCUCUGUCACCCAGGCUGGAGUGCAGUUGCACAAUCACAGCUCACUACAGCGUCAACCUUCCAGGUUGAGGAUCACUCAAUACUCAUGCCUCAGCCUCCCAUGUAGCUGGGGCUACAGGGGCACACCACCACUCCUGACCCAUUUUUUAAAAAUUUUUUUGUAUAGGUGGGGUCUCACCAUGUUGCCCAGGCUAGCCUCGAACUCCUGGGCUCAAGCAAUCCUCUCACCUUGGCCUCUCAAAGUGCUGAGAUUAUAGGUGUGACCCGCCGUGCCCGCCUUUCCUCUGAGUUUUGUUGCAUUCAGGCAGCUCCUGGCUGAGGCAAAACAUUAAAAUGCAUAUGGAAAUGCAGGCUGGGAAAAUGCUUUGAAACCAAUGCAAUUUCUAUGUUAAGGGGACAUUCCCUGAUUCUUUCAGGUAAUUUGCAUUCUAGACUGUGACAUUCUGUAUCUCAACUGAUAAAUAAGCCUGUUUGUCAUCCUGCUAGAUGAGAACCUGAUAUAUGAAACCUUUUUUUUUAACGUGGUUAAAAAAAAACAUAAAAUUUACCAUCAUAAUUAUUUUUAAAUGUACCAUUUGGCAGCAUUAAGUAUAUUUAAACUCUUGUGAAACAAAUUUCUAGAAUGUUUUCAUCUUGCAAAACCGAAACGCUGUAUCUAUUAAACAACUCCCCUUUUCUCCCUCUCUUCAACCCUGGUAACCAUGUUUUUAUGAAUUUGACUACUUUAGAUACCUCAUAUAAGUCAGGUCAUACAGUAUUUGUCUCUUUGUGACUGGCUUCACUUAGCAUAAUGUCCUCAAAGUUUAACUGUGUUGUAGCAUGUAUCAGAAUUUUAUGAAAUAUGAAGUCUUAGACACCCCAAAGUACAUUUUCACCCCAAAUGUAUUUGAACAGUGUUAGGCUGGGGGUGGGAGGCGGGAGUCCUUCUUGCUUUGCCUGUGCAAUGAAAUGAAUACCCUGCUGUGUUUAUCUCCUUGUCAUGUGAUUCUCCCAGGUUGUUUCUUCAAGUUUCUGAGCCAAACUUAACUCUAAAAAGCAAAUAUUCUGUGUUAAAAGACAGUAAUCAACACGGGAGCUACAUCAGACAUCAUAGGACAAAUUGUCAUCUAGAAGAGUAUAUUUUUAAUGCAGGAGAGUUUUUAAAACCCAGAUUGGUGUGAUUUCAUUCCAGAGAGCUCAGACAUAUGCUCAGCAAGUCUUGCAGAAGGAAUGUCGUCCCAAGUUUGCCAAGACAUCAAUGGCGCUGUUAUUUGAGCACAGGUAUAGCGUGGACUUACUCCCUUUUGUGCAGAAGGCCCCCAAAGACAGUGAAGCUGAGUCCAAGUACGAUCCUCCUUUUGGGUUCCGGAAGUUCUCCAGUAAAGUCCAGACCCUCUUGGAACUCUUGCCAGAGCACGACCUCCCUGAACACUUGAAAGCCAAGACCUGUCGGCGCUGUGUGGUUAUUGGAAGCGGAGGAAUACUGCACGGAUUAGAACUGGGCCACACCCUGAACCAGUUCGAUGUUGUGAUAAGAACUCAGUGCACUGCUCUUGGUCAGUGUGGCUCCAGGAACAGUGAGGGACGCAGGAAGCUCUUCACAGUCCCUGCCCACAAGGGACUUAACGUUUGAGAAGUUGAAACAAAAACACAAAAUGGUUGGAUGCUCCAAACUGUCAUACUGACCCUAAGUUGGAGGAGCAUGCUGCCGGCUACAGUUAAACAGUGCACCAGUUGAGGGAUAUUCAGAACAUGUUGGAAAUAAAACUACUAUAAGGAUGACUUAUCCAGAGGGCGCACCACUGUCUGACCUUGAAUAUUAUUCCAAUGACUUAUUUGUUGCUGUUUUAUUUAAGAGUGUUGAUUUCAACUGGCUUCAAGCAAUGGUAAAAAAUGAAACCCUGCCAUUCUGGGUACGACUCUUCUUUUGGAAGCAGGUGGCAGAAAAAAUCCCACUGCAGCCAAAACAUUUCAGGAUUUUGAAUCCAGUUAUCAUCAAAGAGACUGCCUUUGACAUCCUUCAGUACUCAGAGCCUCAGUCAAGGUUCUGGGGCCGAGAUAAGAACGUCCCCACAAUCGGUGUCAUUGCCGUUGUCUUAGCCACACAUCUGUGCGAUGAAGUCAGUUUGGCGGGUUUUGGAUAUGACCUCAGUCAACCCAGAACACCUUUGCACUACUUCGACAAUCAGUGCAUGGCUGCUAUGAACUUUCAGACCAUGCAUAAUGUGACAACGGAAACCAAGUUCCUCUUAAAGCUGGUCAAAGAGGGAGUGGUGAAAGAUCUCAGCGGAGGCAUUGAUCGUGAAUUCUGAACAUAGAAAACCUCAGUUGAAAAUGCAACUCUAACUCUGAGAGCUGUUUUUGACAGCCUUCUUGAUGUAUUUCUCCAUCCUGCAGAUACUUUGAAGUGCAGCUGAAGUUUUUAACUUUUAAUUUAAAAACACACAAAAAAUUUUAGCUCUUCCCACUUUUUUUUCCCUAUUUAUUUGAGGUCAGUGUUUGUUUUUGCACACCAUUUUGUAUAUGAAACUUAAGAAUUGAAUUGGAAAGACUUCUCAAAGAGAAUUGUAUGUAACGAUGUUGUAUUGAUUUUUAAGAAAGUAAUUUAAUUUGUAAAACUUCUGUUCGUUUACACUGCACAUUGAAUACAGGUAACUAAUUGGAAGGAGAGGGGAGGUCACUCUUUUGAUGGUGGCCCUGAACCUCAUUCUGGUUCCCUGCUGCGCUGCUUGGUGUGACCCACGGAGGAUCCACUCCCAGGAUGACGUGCUCCGUAGCUAUGCUGCUGAUACAGGGUCUGCGAUACAGUGGCGUGAGGCCUGGGCUGGUCGGAGAAGGGCACAACCCUUCUCUGUUGGUCUGCCUUCUGCUGAAAGACUCAAGAACCAACCAGGGAAGCUGUCCUGGAGGUCCCUGGUCGGGGAGGGACAUAGAAUCUGUGACCUCUGACAACUGUGAAGCCACCCUGGGCUGCAGAAACCACAGUCUUCCCAGCAAUUAUUACAAUUCUUGAAUUCCUUGGGGAUUUUUUACUGCCCUUUCAAAGCACUUAAGUGUUAGAUCUAACGUGUUCCAGUGUCUGUCUGAGGUGACUUAAAAAAUCAGAACAAAACUUCUAUUAUCCAGAGUCAUGGGAGAGUACACCCUUUCCAGGAAUAAUGUUUUGGGAAACACUGAAAUGAAAUCUUCCCAGUAUUAUAAAUUGUGUAUCUAAAAAAAAGAAACUUUUCUGAAUGCCUACCUGGCGGUGUAUACCAGGCAGUGUGCCAGUUUAAAAAGAUGAAAAAGAAUAAAAACUUUUGAGGAA
rnacentral:sRNA from 1 species